UGGGGAAUUUUGCACAAUGGGGGAAACCCUGAUGCAGCGACGCCGCGUGAUUUAGAAGGCCUUCGGGUUGUAAAAAUCUUUUCUAUGGGAAGAAAAUGACAGUACCAUAGGAAUAAGGACCGGCUAAUUACGUGCCAGCAGCCGCGGUAAUACGUAAGGUCCGGGCGUUGUCCGGAAUCAUUGGGCGUAAAGGGUACGUAGGCGGGUAAGCAAGUUAGAAGUGAAAUCCUAUAGCUCAACUAUAGUAAGCUUUUAAAACUGCUCAUCUUGAGGUAUGGAAGGGAAAGUGGAAUUCCUAGUGUAGCGGUGAAAUGCGCAGAUAUUAGGAGGAAUACCGGUGGCGAAGGCGACUUUCUGGCCAUAACCUGACGCUGAGGUACGAAAGCGUGGGUAGCAAACAGG
rnacentral:rRNA from 1 species